GCCCUCAUCGUCUAGAGGCUCAGGACAUCUCUAUUUCAAGGAGAAAACGGGGAUUCGAAUCCCCCUGAGGGUU
rnacentral:tRNA from 1 species